rnacentral:rRNA from 1 species
AACGAACGCUGGCGGCAUGCCUAAUACAUGCAAGUCGAACGAACGUAGCAAUACGUGAGUGGCGGACGGGUGAGUAACACGUGGGAACCUGCCCAGCGGUGGGGAACAACCGAGGGAAACUUCGGCUAAUACCGCAUACGCCCUUACGGGGAAAGAUUUAUCGCCGUUGGAGGGGCCCGCGUCCGAUUAGCUAGUUGGUGAGGUAACGGCUCACCAAGGCGACGAUCGGUAACUGGUCUGAGAGGACGACCAGUCACACUGGGACUGAGACACGGCCCAGACUCCUACGGGAGGCAGCAGUAGGGAAUAUUGGACAAUGGGGGAAACCCUGAUCCAGCAAUGCCGCGUGAGUGAUGAAGGCCUUAGGGUUGUAAAGCUCUUUCGCCCACGACGAUGAUGACGGUAGUGGGAGAAGAAGCCCCGGCUAACUUCGUGCCAGCCGCCGCCGUAA